rnacentral:rRNA from 1 species
UGGGGAAUUUUGGACAAUGGGGGCAACCCUGAUCCAGCCAUGCCGCGUGAGUGAAGAAGGCCUUCGGGUUGUAAAGCUCUUUCGGCGGGGACGAAACGGUCCGUGACAACACCACGGACUAAUGACAGUACUCGCAGAAGAAGCACCGGCUAACUACGUGCCAGCAGCCGCGGUAAUACGUAGGGUGCAGGCGUUAAUCGGAAUUACUGGGCGUAAAGCGUGCGCAGGCGGCUCCUUAAGUCAGAUGUGAAAUCCCCGGGCUUAACCUGGGAACUGCGUUUGAAACUGAGGGGCUAGAGUGUGGAAGAGGGGGGUGGAAUUCCAGGUGUAGCAGUGAAAUGCGUAGAGAUCUGGAGGAACACCGAUGGCGAAGGCAGCCCCCUGGGCUAACACUGACGCUCAUGCACGAAAGCGUGGGGAGCAAACAGGAUUAGAUACCCAGGUAGUCCCUGAGCGGGCUGGCAAGGCGCAU